rnacentral:lncRNA from 1 species
AUUGAAAUUUUUCAAAGAUAAAUUAUAAAAAAAUACUUUAUGAAUAUUAAAAUUUCUUUUACUCGCUCUGUCUACAGAGCCAAUGUUAAGCUAUUGCCAUCACUUGACAUCUGUCGUCUAUUGUUAAUAUAGAUACAGGGGAAUGGUCAAACCAUAGGUCCCCAUUCAAAUGCAUUGAUCCUCAAAAAAAAAAUGGGGGUUCCAACCCUCUGGAUCUGCCACUGAGAUACAAUAUGAAUGCUACAGGCUCUUGUCGGUUUUAUUUCUGAGAGGAAAGUCAAAUAUUGGAAGGUAGUUAACAAUUGAAGGUAAAUUAGUGAAUCUUUGGAAUUAAGUUCAUUUGCUCAUUUCAAUUAAGACUGCUGUUGUCCAUGUUGUACCUCAGUCAGUUGAUUGUUAAUUUAAAGUGCCAAUAGGAAAUCAGAUUUAUAUAGAUUUUAGAUAAUAUUUUGGUGCUUAAUGUUUACUUUGAUAAACAAAAACUACUGUAAAUUCUGAAAUUUUAGAUG